GACAGAGGUGCCAAGCGUUAGGCGGAAUCACUGGGCUUAAAGCGUGUGUAGGCGGAAUGGUAAGUACCUUGUGAAAUCCCACGGCUCAACCGUGGAACUGCUGGGUAUACUGCUUUUCUUGAGCCACUUAGGGGCUGUCGGAACAAACGGUGGAGCGGUGAAAUGCGUAGAUAUCUGGAGGAACACCGGUGGCGAAGGCGGCAUCCUGGACCGGUAUUGACGCUGAGGCGCGAAAGCUAGGGGAGCAAACGGG
rnacentral:rRNA from 1 species